GACGAACGCUGGCGGCGUGCCUAAUACAUGCAAGUCGAGCGGAAGUUGAAGAGCUUGCUCUUCAACUUUAGCGGCGGACGGGUGAGUAACACGUGGGCAACCUGCCCUGCAGAUCGGGAUAACUCCGGGAAACCGGUGCUAAUACCGAAUAGUUUUCGCCACCUCCUGGUGGCGUACGGAAAGACGGUUUCGGCUGUCACUGCAGGAUGGGCCCGCGGCGCAUUAGCUAGUUGGUGGGGUAACGGCCCACCAAGGCAGCGAUGCGUAGCCGACCUGAGGGGGGGAUCGGCAACACGGGGACUGAGAAACGGCCCAGACUCCUACGGGAGGCAGCAGUAGGGAAUCUUCCGCAAUGGACGAAAGUCUGACGGAGCAACGCCGCGUGAGUGACGAAGGUUUUCGGAUCGUAAAACUCUGUUGUGAGGGAAGAACAAGUACCACUUAACUACUGGUACCUUGACGGUACCUCACCAGAAAGCCACGGCUAACUACGUGCCAGCCGCCGCCGUAACAC
rnacentral:rRNA from 1 species